AUCUAAAACAAAAUGGGUUGAGCCCAUAAUAAGGCCCAACCCCAAAUAAAGAAAAACAACAUGGUCUGUCUAACUUUUGUCCUAAAUCACAUUUAGGAAAGUAAACUCUAUGCCCUAAUUUGCAUUUGCUGAUAUGCGCCGGUGUGGAAAUGACGAAGUUGCCCGAGUUUGUAACUCUCCCUGUUCGCUUGAUUUGAUCCACUCCUCCAUUCCUUGCUCUUUUGUGCUGUUAAUGUUGAAAUCGAUGUAAGUACGUCUUUUUCAACAUCUUUUGCUUUGUGUUGGAUUUCCAAAUUUUUGAGAGAUUUGAACCUUGUUCUUGUUCCGCAUGUACUGAUUCUGUGCUCGAGCUACUGAGUCGAUCUCUCCCUGAGUUGAUCUUGAUGUUUCCAUCUCCACUCAACUUGGUGCACAGGAAGACAGGCUUGAUCCAUAGCGGUAUUCUCAGAGAGCACCUAGCAGAGCUCCAUUUCAUUCGAAGCCAUAGCUUUUAGAGUAUCAGGCCGGAUCUACUUCUCUGACUCGUAGCUGAUCGACUGCUCAACUUCUACUUGAGUUUUCCAGGGUGAGCAUGGUGUCCGCUAAGCUCGAAGACUCUUCUAUUAUUUAUGUCUUACUUUUCUUCCAAGAAAUGAAUUGAGACAUUUAAUAUAUUUUUAUUCAGACCAGAGUUAUUCGGAUGUAGAUGCUCUUGUAUGACUAAACCAGAUACUGGGGUUCAUUUACUUUCGGACUUAUCUAUAUUAUGCUAUAU